UACGAAGGGGGCUAGCGUUGCUCGGAAUCACUGGGCGUAAAGGGUGCGUAGGCGGGUCUUUAAGUCAGGGGUGAAAUCCUGGAGCUCAACUCCAGAACUGCCUUUGAUACUGAGGAUCUUGAGUUCGGGAGAGGUGAGUGGAACUGCGAGUGUAGAGGUGAAAUUCGUAGAUAUUCGCAAGAACACCAGUGGCGAAAGCGGCUCACUGGCCCGAUACUGACGCUGAGGCACGAAAGCGUGGGGAGCAAACAGG
rnacentral:rRNA from 1 species